UGGGGUAUCGCCAAGCGGUAAGGCACCGGUUUAUGAUUCCGGCAUUCCGAGGUUCGAAUCCUCGUACCCCAGCCA
rnacentral:tRNA from 2 species